AGCUCCAAUAGCGUAUAUUAAAGUUGUUGCAGUUAAAAAGCUCGUAGUUGGAUUUGUGGUUUGUCGUCUGGUUCGGCAUUUGUUUGCUGUAACUUUUGUUGACGGAUCAUGUUUGGGUGGAAUCUGUGUGGCAUUAGGUUGUCGUGCAGGGGAUGCCCAUCGUUUACUGUGAAAAAAUUAGAGUGUUCAAAGCAGGCUUAUGCCGUUGAAUAUAUUAGCAUGGAAUAAUGAGAUAGGACCUGGGUACUAUUUUGUUGGUUUGCGCACCCUGGUAAUGAUUAAUAGGGUCAGUUGGGGGUAUUCGUAUUCCAUUGUCAGAGGUGAAAUUCUUGGAUUUCUGGAAGACGAACUACUGCGAAAGCAUUUACCAAGGAUGUUU
rnacentral:rRNA from 1 species